rnacentral:rRNA from 1 species
UACGAAGGGGGCUAGCGUUGCUCGGAAUCACUGGGCGUAAAGCGCACGUAGGCGGAUUCUUAAGUCAGGGGUGAAAUCCUGGAGCUCAACUCCAGAACUGCCUUUGAUACUGAGGGUCUUGAGUUCGGGAGAGGUGAGUGGAACUGCGAGUGUAGAGGUGAAAUUCGUAGAUAUUCGCAAGAUCACCAGUGGCGAAGGCGGCUCACUGGCCCGAUACUGACGCUGAGGUGCGAAAGCGUGGGGAGCAAACAGG